CCAAUUCCAAAUUUAGGAAGUCCACACACUCCCAAUGGUUAGUAAAAAAAGGGAAUUUAUUGGCUUUAAAGUAUAAAAAUAAAACAAUAAAAUGCUAUUUCUGGUCCUACGCGUUUCGUCUCCCUUAGGAAACUUCCUCAGGGACCAAAUAUUAAAUUGCUACAGUUAAAACAUGCAAUCACAUACACUGCCAAAAAAUAAACAAGUGUACAAAUGAGCCU